rnacentral:lncRNA from 1 species
UAGAUUAUAAGAUUGGUAGCUAUAGUUGUAUAAGAAGUACAAUUAUAUAUUUAGAAAUAGAAAAUAAUAUAUUUCUAAUAGCAUAAGACCAGAUCAAGUCUUAAUUUUAACGUUUGAGAUCCAUCCAUAUAUUACAAUAUAUUCGAGUUGUAUGGCUAAUAUAGAGUAGCAAUAGGACACAAUAAUGCCAGAUUUCCCUCCCUAAUAAAUACCAAGCAAACUCAAUAAGACUAUAGUCGGAUCAGCCAAAUAGAUCAGCUAGCGAACAAAAUUGUGAAAGAACAAAUCUCUUCAAGGCGCUAUUGUCGCUGGAUUUGAUCCUUUCAAAGUGCUAUUGUCAUAUGAUUUCACCUUUUUCCAUUUGUUUUCUUCCUCCCACAAAAGCCUUUUUGUGUGUUAUAGCCCAUCGAUCUCUCUUAUUUCUCUUAUUUCCUGUUUAGAUAUUAAAGAAAUUUUGUACCAUAUAUAUCAUUACCACGCUCUAAUUUACCAUGUUAAUUAGAGAAAAAGAAGAAAAGUCUUAUAUUGUUAGAUCCCGGUGAUCCCAUAUUUAACGACUAGGAUCUAAUAGUGUUGAGUGAGUUUAAGGGGUGAUAGUUCACAGAUUCUCACACGUAGCUAUGGUUCCAAGCUUACGAUACACCACAAC